rnacentral:rRNA from 1 species
AUUGAACGCUGGCGGCAGGCCUAACACAUGCAAGUCGAACGAGUGGCGGACGGGUGAGUCAUGUCUGGGAAACUGCCCGAUGGAGGGGGAUAACUACUGGAAACGGUAGCUAAUCCCGCAUACCAUCGGAUGUGCCCAGAUUGGAUUAGCUAGUAGGUGGGGUAACGGCUCACCUAGGCGACGAUCCCGAGCUGGUCUGAGAGGAUGACCAGCCACACUGGAACUGAGACACGGUCCAGACUCCUACGGGAGGCAGCAGUGGGGAAUAUGGCACAAUGGGCGCAAGCCUGAUGCAGCCAUGCCGCGUGUGUGAAGAAGGCCUUCGGGUUGUAAAGCACUUUCAGCGGGGAGGCGUUACCCGAAGAAGAAGCACCGGCUAACUCCGUGCCAGCAGCCGCGGUAAUAC